UUAUUACUGAAAUACAACCUUUUUUGUUUCAAACAGUUCAUUGAACAAUAAUAAAUGAAGUACCUGAAGCUGACAAGGAAGUAAAUGUAUAAUAAUUAGCAAAGAUGAUUAAUUUAGCGCUGUAAACGCGUGUGUGAGGGGCGGAGACGCUCCACGGGUCAGACCGAGUGAGGACCAAACACAGCAGAACGGUAGGAAACUUCACUCCUCUUAUUAUUUCUCUUUUACUAUAGCGAUUUAUUUUUAGAUACGUGAAAUGAGUCUUUCAUAGAAUUGUAGAGUUAUUAGAGAAAUAGAGUUAUUUUUUACAUUCUUUGGUCGAAGUUUUCAGAUCGGGACUUCGGAGCCUGUUCGAGACUCGGUUGAUUCAGAUCGGCACUUCACAGCAUAUUCGCGACUCGGUAGAUUCGGCACUUCGGAGCCUGCUCGCGACUCGGUUGAUUCAGAUCGGCACUUCGGAGCCUGUUCGCGACUCGGUUGAUUUCAGAUCGGGACUUCGGAGCAUGUUCGCGCCCUCGGUUGAUUCAGAUCGGCACUUCGGAGCAUGUUCGCGACUCGGUUGAUUCAGAUCGGCACUUCGGAGCACGUUCGCGACUCGGUUGAUUUCAGAUCGGGACUUCGGAGCAUGUUCGCGCCCUCGGUUGAUUCAGAUCGGCAAUUCGGAGCAUGUUCGCGCCCUCGGUUGAUUUCAGAUCGGGACUUCGGAGCAUGUUCGCGCCCUCGGUUGAUUCAGAUCGGCACUUCGGAGCAUGUUCGCAACUCGGUUGAUUGCAGAUCGGCACUUCGGAGCAUGUUCGCGCCCUCGGUUGAUUCAGAUCGGCACUUCGGAGCAUGUUCACGACACGGUUGAUUCAGAUCGGCACUUCGGAGCAUGUUCGCGCUCUCGGUUGAUUCAGAUCGGCACUUCGGAGCAUGUUCGCGCUCUCGGUUGAUUCAGAUCGGCACUUCGGAGCAUGUUCGCGGCCUUGGUUGAUUGAGAUCUGCACUGCACAGAGGAGCGUUCAAAGUUACGAGACAUAGACUAAAGUAAGAUUCCCAUUGAAAUGCUCUCCGACAGCAAAUGCAAUGAGUUUGCAUCCUUCUUUUCUGAGAAGAUCAUCAAUAUCAGGAAGGCGAUUAGCACAUCCUCAAGUAAUGCAGUUAGAAAUACCAAGGGUUCACACAAAACAAGGGGGAAUCUGCUUUUAGUUUCUAUGCCGCUCGCAGUUGGAAUCAGCUUCCAGAAGAGAUCAGAUGUAAAACACUAGUCACAUUUACAUCUGGACUUAAAACUCAUCUGUUUAGCUGUGCAUUUAUUGAAUGAGCACUGUGCAAUGUCCGAACUGAUUGCACUAUAUUUUCACUGUUUUUUUUUAUGUAAAAUAAUUUUGUAACUGUUUUAAAUUAAUUUUAAUUAAGUAAAUGUUUUAAUCAUUAUAAAAGUUUUAAAAUUGCUCGUUUUAUUUUUGUUAUAAUUUUUCUUUAUGAUUAUUUUACUUUAUUUUAUGUAAAGCACUUUGAAUUACCAUUGUGUAUGAAAUAUAAAUAAACUUUCCUUGCCUAGUGUGUUAGUGGGCUUAUAUAUAUAUAUAAACACACACACACACAUACACACACUACCGGUCAGAGUUUGGGAUCAGAAUGAUUUUUAAUGUUUUUUUACAGGAAUUUAUUUUACUCAUCAAGACAGCAUUUAUUUGAUCAAAAAUACUGGAAAACAUGUAAUAUUGUGAAAUAUUAUUAACAUUUUUGUAUUUUAAU
ensembl:lncRNA